rnacentral:rRNA from 1 species
GAUGAACGCUAGCGGCAGGCCUAAUACAUGCAAGUCGAACGGUGUAGCAAUACACAGUGGCGCACGGGUGCGUAACACGUAUGCAACCUACCUUACAUUGGGGGAUAGCCUUUCGAAAGGGAGAUUAAUACCGCAUAAGACAGUAACUGGGCAUCCAGUAGCUGUUAAAGAUUUAUCGAUGUAAGUUGGGCAUGCGUCCAAUUAGUUAGUUGGCGAGGUAAUGGCUCACCAAGACGAUGAUUGGUAGGGGAACUGAGAGGUCAAUCCCCCACACUGGCACUGAGAUACGGGCCAGACUCCUACGGGAGGCAGCAGUAGGGAACAUUGGGCAAUGGGCGCAAGCCUGACCCAGCCAUGCCGCGCGCAGGAAGAAGGCGUUAUGCGUUGUAAACUGCUUUUAUACAGGAAGAAACGACCCUUGCGAGGGGCAUUGACGGUACUGUAUGAAUAAGCACCGGCUAACUCCGUGCCAGCCGCCGCUGUAACAC